rnacentral:lncRNA from 1 species
AGGGGGGGGGGGGGGUUAGGGGAGGGCAGAUUAACAACUACAAUUAAUACCACAGAAGAGUGUUAACAACAUUACAGGCUUAUUACUAUAAUUGAUGCUCUCUAAAGAAUGCUAAUACAUACACAUGUCAAACAAAUUCAAUUAUAAAUACAGAUCAAUACUCUUAAUCAAAAGGCACAGGUUGAUAAUUUCAAAUAGAGCAUUCAAAAAAUAUUGACAGAAAUUCAGAGCAAUAAUUUCAUAGUUGGGGCUCUUACAGGUACUACCAGAGAUGUUAGACUACAAAUCAGAGUUUCUAAAGCAUUAAUAAAGUUAUAGAUUCUCAACCUAUAAUAGAACUUCUAAGAACAUCAAUAGGAUUACAAAUUAGCAAGUUGCAAUCAGAUCCAAUGGAACUUAGUAGCAAUGUUUCAGCUAAACAAAUGUAUCAUCAUAACCCGAACACAUCUCAUCCUUACAUUCAUGUCUUAAGCUAAAUAUAAGGUAAUCCUAGAAUAUAUAUAUAUAUAUAUAUAUAUAUAUAUAUAUAAGUGAUACAAAGAUUCAACUAGCUUAGGACAGGUUUUCAUAAAUAGUCAUGAGUUUACUCAAGUAAAUAAUGGAAUCACCGAGGUAUAUUAAAGAUGUAAAACAGGUGUAAAGGUCAUAAGCUAAUGCCUUAGUGCUAUGGUAACAGGGUUUAGAUUUUUACUGACCUUCUUUGGGGCAGCAAACCAAAAGAAUGUUCAAAUUACCCUUUCAGGAGUCCAAGAGCUCAAGCUCUAAAUCAGUACUAAGCUCAGAAUUAGAAAAGAAAUAAAAAGUAGAAAUUGGUCGAGAACAUAGACUUUAAUAGAAAUUUCCAAACAACUAUUAAAUUCUCCUAUAUAAAGUGUGUAUUGUUGUGUGUUAGAUGAAAUACUAAAAAGCCCCAAUUUAUAGUGGCUGUGAAGCCUUAGGGUUUUCGAUUGAAAACACGGUAGUGGAGAGUGACGAUGAACUUAUGAUGUGAGCAACAUCGAGUAAAAUCAGAGAAGAAAGAGGUGAGAACAGUGAAAGUUUUUACCUGAGAUAGAGAAAUUGUCCGUUGAAAGCAAAAACCACUAAAUAAAAGGCCCAAUGUCCAUAGGUCACUACGCUUGACCUCUGGACCAAGAAUAAUGAUGAUAACACUGUAAAGUUGCCAUACAUGCCACUAAUUUGAUAGAGCACAAGAAAUCUCUGAUGAUUCGACCUUGCAUCAAUUGGUCUAGGAUUUCGAAUUUGGGAAUUUUGAAAUUCAACCAAUUAAAUGGAAAGAAAACCAUAUGCUUCUUAGCCUAGAGACAAAGUGAGUGAUUCUGCAAGUUCGAUAUGAGAGAACAAAGAUGAAAUGAUAUUUUGGUUCUAAGGUUUAAAUUCUGGUAUUUCAGAUUUGAUGAAUGAAAGAGGAAAUAGCAGCAGGAUUUGUGGAUACAGAAUCAGGAAAGAUGAUUUGCUGAGAAAUUUCAUGACCUUGAACGAAUUUGUGCAAGGUAUGUUGAUUGAUGUGCAUGAGAGGUUGAGAGAAGAGUGAACGAAAUGGGAAAUAAAGAGGGUGUGUGAGUGAAAAAAGAUUUAGGGUUGGGGGGGAUGGGGGUGGCCGUCUCUAGGUUAAGGUCGAGUAUUGAAUCUGGACCGUUGAUAUUUUAGAUCAACGGUCCUGAUAUUUAGGGAUGAAAUCUAUAUCGUGGGAAAGUUUGGUGGCCGUUGGAUCCUUGUGAUCCAACGGUUAGGAUUAGAUCUCUGGGUGUUUAAAAAUUAAAGAGAAAAUAGAGUAAAAAAUCAUGGGCCAUUGAUCUAAAAAAUAUACGGCCUGAAUUAGUUGUGUUUAUUUUUUGUGUGUGGGAGACGGGUGACGUGGCAAUCUCUGAUUGGUUCGUGGAGAUUUGGGGUGGAUUGCCAAGGUAGGGGAUGUUUGGACUGGGUAUUUCCGGAUUGGACUUGUCAUUUGAGCCAAAUAAAUUUAAGAGAUAGCCACUUUGUAUUUAAUAGUGAAUUGCAAUUGUAGGCUUUAGCCACUUUUAAUCCCUUUUGAAAUUAAAUUACAUAAAAUUAAUUAUUUUCAAUAAAUUAAAAUUAUAAUUAUCAUAUACACUAUUAAUUAUUGUAAAAUAAUUAACCAUAAAAUACCAUAUUUUCCAAAACUAUGAUAUUAGUUUCGAAUUAUUGAAAUGAUUGACCAAUUAACUAAAACUCGAAGAAUAACUAAUUAAACUAAUUGUAAGACCCAUGCAAUAUAUAUAUAUAUAUAUAUAUAUAUAUAUAUAUAUAUAUAUAGUAGGUAUGAUAUAUUUACAAUUACAAUUAUAAAAAUUGAAUUAUCAAUUUCAAAAUUACUAAUACCAAAUUAAUUUUGUAAGAAUAGAUGUUAUUGAUAUAAAAUAUAUUUAAAAUAUUCAUUGUAAGUUAUUAAGUAUAAAUAAAUUAAUUUUGAAUGGGAGGGUCAAAAUUGGUCGUCAACAACUGCCCUCUUUGACCGGAGACGAUGAAAGAAUUUUCGGGCAAAGAAAUUGAACCAAAGCCAAUUUUGUCCCAAUUGUAGGCAUACAUUGCAGGAAUAGUUCGAAGAUUAUGAGGUAUAGGAUUAGUAAGAUUUCAGGAGAAUUUUGGGGAGUUGGGGCCCCGUUCUGGCUUUGAAUUGCUUACAUACCUCGGGCUCAAACAGGAUCGAGCUUCAUUUUGUUCUGGAGUGAAGACGUUGAGGAAGCGAUGCUCUCAUGAAUUUUUCCAGUAUCGUAUUAGGACGAUACUGCGAGACGGAACAUUCAGCAUCAUGAUUGCUUUGAAUUUGUGGCUUGAUUUGAAAGAUUUGAAGAAUUAGAAUUCUACUGACCGUUUUGAGUUUGAGCUCGGAUCCUUGGAUCGCUAAUGAGUUUGUUGUUCCACAUUGCGAUGUUUGUUCCUGCAAAAAGAAUGAAAUACGCACAUAUUGUUGCUCAAAAACUCGCACGCAAGUAUACGUGGUCGACAAGUAAUAUAGGAUAAUAAGUGUAGAUAUCGUACCCACAGGGACUUGUGAUUAACUAUCAACUAAAUCAAACCCAAAUAAUUAAUCCAUUCAAGCGAUUUUCUAAAGUAUAAAUAUUUAAUUAAAACUAAUCUAGAGUGGCAAACUAAGAGAUUAAAGGAAACAAGAUGGCGAAAUUAGACACAAAUUCAAUAAGAGCCGAUAUUCUAGAGCUAUGGGUUAGCUAACAUUCCUGUUGAGUCUUUUACUUAAAUUGUCUAAUUAAUUUUUCUGGUUUAUUGGUUGACAUGGUUAAUAUUACUCGUAGCCUUCUCCCGAAGUACUACUCGCCUAUUUAAGUUCACCUAACUCCUAUAUUCCUAUGGAAUUAGGAUUAACAAGAACGCAUUAAUAAUUUCCGUAUAAUAACCAAGCAAGGCGAUUAGGUAUAUCCCUAUCAUAACCGCUAAUCCGUUUCCGAUAAUCAGGUUCAAGAUCUCGCUCUACUCAAUCUUAUGUGCAAUCUAGAAUUUCCUCUGCCUUGUUCAAUCCUAGAUUCGUAGAUUGUAUUUAAUUGAUGAUCAAGCAAUCAAAUAAUUAAGUGCAAGAUUGAAUAAAUAAACCAAUAUGUUAAAAUAAUAAGAACAACUCAAGUUUCAAACUACAACGUUCAUGUUGCACCCAGAACUCUAGAACUAAUAAACUAUAAAAUUAAAGGAAGUGAAGAGAAGAAAAACUGAGAAUCCUUGCUCUAAGCGUGGUUUAUGUUAUCCUCCUCCAAAGUGACGUGUUCUCCCUCAAACAUAUGUUAAAUAUCCUCCAAAUUAGGUUUAGUCUUGCUUUUAUACGAGUUGGGAGGGUCUUGCACUGAAAUAACCUUAUCUCGGGCGAAGUAGGAGAUGUUUCCCGUCAUCAAUGCCCAGGGUAGCAUGGGGCGCUAGCACUGGCACUGUGAAAAUAAACAUUUUGGAAAUUGGGCCACAGGUAGCGCCCCACGCUGCCUGUGAUCCUGGAAAUCGCCAUUUUUAACUUUUUCUCCUUUUUGGCUCUAAUCUCGUACCUUUCACCCCUAUUGCCUCCGGAUGAUUCCUACAUAUAAAAACAACACAAAUAAGCAUAAAUCAGUACAUUUCACAUACAAAAUCCAUGAAAAGCGAAUAAAAUAUGAGGUGAUAUACAUAUAAAUAUAUAUACUUUAAGCCAAGUAUCAACACCCCACACUUAGACUCUUGCUCGUCCUCGAGCAACGGGACUAUCAACUACACCCCAAGAAUGUACACAUCUCAACUAGAGAGGAUCCUUCCAAUAUGUUUUUACCAUACACUCUACCAUUGUCUAUUAUCGAUACCGCCAAUCAAGCACGAACAUACAAAUUUUACAUUCUUCCCGUUUUAAACAUGUCCAAGUACAAACAUUUCAAUUUAAACAACCUAUCCGUAACUACCCUACCUCAAGAGCUGACUCGUUACCACUAAGCACCCUCACUCACGCACUCACCCAACAAGAAAAGUUUACAAUAUUACCAAUCCUUCAUGAGAUCAUGUACCCUCACCAGCAAACAAAAGAGUGAAUAUAAAUUAAUCCACAUAUUCAAGUAUGCCUUCGAACAUAAUUUUAAGGACAUCAUACAAUUGAACAAAAUUCUCUCACUCUCAUAAACAAUUUCAUGUGCAUCCUGUGGUCGUACCAUAAGCUUGCCCGUAGUGUACAUCUCUACUAAUCUAAGCUACCCAAAUAUAGCAUCAAUUAAGACUUUAAGGUUAUAGUGUAGGUUAAGGGACGGGUAGGAUACAUUUAGGUAUAGUGAAUAACCCUCCUAAGCACUUUAAUACACUACACUCAAAAAUCGAGCACUUCUUCUUCUCAACCAAUUCACUCACCACCAACCAUCUACAACAUAGCCCUUUUUCCCAAUUAAGCCCUUCUAUAUUCCCACUAGCACGAAUUAGUAGGAUUAGAAGAUAUGUGUUUCUCUACAUUGUUUGAACUAUUAUAUGUUUUCCUUCUUGCAAUUUUUUUCUUUUUCUUUUUUUUUCUUUUCUCCACACACUCCAUGCAUUAAGGUUCAUCGGCUAGUGACCUUUUUCUACAAUUUUAGUGCACCUUAAGGGCCCUUCCAUGGUUCCACUAGAAAGAUACUCCCCAAUCUCUCACCUUACUUCUUUUAGCGACUCAGUGCCUUAGGAGGUAAAGUUCAACAAUCUCAAACUAAGAACAAAAUAGGUGUGCGGCUUGUAAUGUGGGUGCCAAAGAAACGUUCUAUAGUCUCAAAGGGUCUAGCAACAGAAAAUAUUAUUUUUAUGUGACAAGCACAUCUAUGAUCAAGCAAGAAAUGGAUACGUCAUCUCCUAGACUAGCACAAUUUAAUAAUUUCGCUUCGAUUAACACACAGGGCAAGUUCUAGACUACACAGGAUAUCACAGAAGAUCACGAUACCUCUCACACACAUUGCACAUGACUCAAUCGAGACAGUUAUGAUCAACUCUCAAGUCAAGCAAAGACAUAUAAUUGAGAAACUUUAAGCAAUAUUGCACUAUGUGGCAUACAAGUCAAACAACUGAGAAAAUGUAUCACAUAGUAGGCUAUUUAUUUUACUCAGGCAUCACAAUUCAAAUCAAAUGUAUGGGAAGACAGAGCGCAUGCCAUAGCCUAAUUUGCCAGCACCAAACACGUCAAUAGGUAUCUGAGAGUAACUCAACUUCUUCCUAUCCUACUCCUAAGAAAAAAUAAAGUACCCGGUUCAAGCUACACCCUUGAAAAAGAACCGGUGGCCAAAGAAAAAUCAAGGGAUCCUACCUAACUAUCCUAAAAAAAUUCUUUUUGGUAUUUUUUUAAUUGGACUUUAAUCCCUCAAGAAUACUGUCCACAAAAUCCAUCGUCGGGAAAACUCCAAAAAUUUCUGAUUUUUCUUUUCUUUUUCGUUUCUUUUACACAAAAACUAGUACAUUAAGAAAGAGUACUACAACUAAACUAGGAUAGAACAAAAAAUCACCCAGAUAAACUCCUCACCCCAUACUUAAAAUUGUACAAUGUCAUCGAUGCAUAUAAUAAAUAACAAGAGGGUAAAAGAGACGCCCUGGUAGGCCAAAGGACGAUGCAUUAGCAGCUCACGAGAUACUCAGACUUUUCCCAGAUAUGGUCCUUUGUGCGGACAUCCCACACGUAGUUCCAACCACCACUCACUUUUUCACACGCCUAUUGUCUUUCACUCCAUUCUCCUACUCCUACAAAAACACAAAAAUAACACUACAAAGAUAAACUGCAAAUAUGUGUUUAUCUGCUUUAUUCUUAUCAUUGAUUCAUCACAAUUAUUUGUUACUACUUUAUACACUGUCAUCGCAUUUUUCCUAUCGUGUCUUGGCCAUACACAAUCACACACAAAUCACGCGAGCGUUGUCUUUUCAUCCAUCCAAACCUUCUUUUAGAAACUCUCUAGUUUUAGAGAAUGACCAUGUCAGGCCAACUGACAUAUCAUCUCGCAGUUCUUCAGUCCAACUCAAACUUAGGAAACACUCUACUCUUAGAAAACGUAGGACAUGCUGCAUACACCUAAGGUGAGUCGGUCCUUGGUAUUGAUUGACAAUUAAGAAAGCCACCCAAAAAUUAAUGAAUCAUGUACCUAAUGACAUGCCUUAUGUUGAAUGACAAAUCAAUCCAGAUAAGACAACAAUGAUUCGGAGCGAAACGCUUACCCAACCUUCCUUCUCUACUAGAUGGAAAUCAACCCCAAUAUCCCGGAAAUUAGCAUGGUCAUGGGAGCACCCUAUAAGGUAAAAUAGUGGUAGAGAAAUAUCUGACGAGAGCACGAAAGUGGAAUCAGAACACACCUUGGGGCGCUAACUGUCACGCCCCAACCUUUUAGGGAGAGGAGGCGAUCGACGCUGAACAGAGUUACCCCAGUCAAGCAAGCCUACAUAGUGCCUAUCUUUCAAGCUUGCCCAUGAAUAAAUAUCAAGAGUUAGACAAACGAGAGACUAAAAUGUACGGUACCAAUUUCAUGACUUAUAGAAGCUUCAUUUACGAUUACCAAAAUAUUACAAGUUCAUAUUUAGAAGUGGGAACAUCCAACAACUACAACAACAUUUUUAAUUUGUUUUUUCCAAUUCAAAAUAUAACCCACAUAAUGUCUAUGGAGCCUCUAAGUAAACAUGAUUACAAAUAUGGAAGUGUCAGUGACAAGGCCCAGGCUAUACCUCAAACACUAUGUAUAAGAAUCAAAGUGAUACAAGGCCUCGAUAUAGAGUACAAAUCACCAAAUCAGCUGAGAAGAGGAUGUGAUGCUAUCAAGGAUCAGUGUCGCCUACUAAGGAACACCUGCAUCCAUUAAAGAUGUAGAACUUCCGGCAAAAGGGACAUUUGUACAUAUGGGAUAGUACAAGUAUGUACAGCUAAAUACCUUCUCAUGGUAUGGAAUGUCAACAUAAAAGGAGAGACACAUGGAAACAGUAAGAAAAUCAAUAAUAUUUAAAUGCCAAAUUAAACAAAGUAACUUUCAAGUAAGCAUUAAUAUUUUGGUUGUGAGAUUCUUAGUACCAACAUACCAUCAUGCACGUGGCAUGGAGUCCGAUCUCUGUCUGAUCGGCUAAGCCGUCUCACCCCGAUGUAUGAGGGUUGACAUAGAAGUACAAACCUCCACCAUGUACGCAACAUGGCAUCUGAUCUCUCCCUGGUCGGCUAAGUCGUCUCACCACAAUGUUGUGUGGAUAGACAUGGUCUUUUCUAGCUAUCAACUCAUCCCAAUCAAGGGGAAUAAUCUCAACAUAAUAUAAUGGGGAUUCAUCCCUCAAUCAACUCCUACACCGGCACGUGUAGUUUUGGGCUUGGGCAUUUAUAACCCAUCCUACCUCAAUGACCUAACGAUACUCCCAAAAACACAUUCUAUAUAAACGAAGAAUAUGCAUCUCAUAGCCUUUCAAUUAAUCUUUUAAUUUCAUCGGCACUCUUGGCCAUACAUGUAAAUAAUAAUUCUUGGCAUGAUGGGCGUAUUUCAUAUUCCAUACUUUCAUUCUUUUCAUUGCUAUGGAUCAUCAUCAAACAUUUACAAACAUUGGCAACAUUGAGAAAGUCAUAGCUUCAACUCAUAUGUAUGUAAGAGCCCAAAACAUACUGGAAAUAAGUACAAGGAAGAGCAUAGCGAUUUGCAAUUUGAAUCAUGAAUUAAAAUCAUAAGCCUUUGGACAAAUUAACCAUAGAAGAAAUUUGGGACAAUAGGAAUAGGAACUUGAUUAAACCAUAAUUGAAGUUUACGAGGAACUCGUGCAAUCUGAUUCUACGGAAGGAUUUUAGCCAACAUACCUUGAUAAAGCUUGUCUUAAGAUUACUACAACAUUCCCUUACUCUUAGCAACUUCAGUAUAUAGAAAGAUAACCAAAUUGAACAAUUAUUAGGGAGGUGUUCAUAGGUUUAACCUUUUUUGGCAUUUCAUCAAACAAUAAAUGUGCAAAAUCGACUGCAAGGUUCACUAAUGGAAUUCCUUCACCCCACAAUCAAUUUCAAACAACAACCUACCCACGAUAGUUCAACAACCCCCAUAUCACCGUCAUCGAUACAUGCAUGCCCAACGACACACCACCAAAUCUAGAACCACACCUCACAUUCUUCUCAUACACCCCAAAUUUCAAAGUAGAGGGAUUAUGGCUUCCGAUCACCAUCCCACAAGACCCAUAAUAAUAAAAUAUAUACAUAAACCCAUUAUGAACAUUUCAUGAAAGCUUAGGGGAAAAAACUUACCUUGUUGGUUGAAGUCCUUGUGAGUGAUUUCCUUGAAUCUUCAAGAUUGAGCAAGAAUUAAAGGGUAUAAUUAUUGGAGCUCCUCCCCCCCCCCCCUCUCUAGAGUGUUUUCCCCAUCUAAAAUGAGUUGAUUCUGCCAUAAAAAUGACCCCAUUAAGGCUUAUAUCAUAAUACAGUUGGGAAAAGAAAUUCUCAAUAAUUCCCCCACAAAUCAAACCCGUGAUUGCGGAAUGCAUCAUAGAAGGGUUGUGUCGUUUACAAACUGGACCGCGAAAUGGUCUCCAAUCUGCGAUUAUGCGGUCGCAUAAUGGACCGCAGAAUCUGUUUCCAAAAUUUUCCAUGCUGAUAUGCGACAGAUAUGCAGUCUGCGAAAUGAACAUGAGGUUGCACAUUGGACCGCAAAAUGGCCCUAUAAAUCUAGCUUCUCCGGAUUCAAUAUGCGAUUGUUCUGCGGUCAGCGGAAUGGUUCUGUGGAUGCAUAAUGGACCACAGAAAUGCCACAUUGUGCAAAUUUUCCACCAACUCCACUAUGCAUUAUACAACCCAAAAAGUCUGUAACGCAGCGAACUUGCGAGCCACGAAAUAUAUCUACAACCCUCCGAGCACAUUAGCUUACUUUGGCACCAUAAAAACUUAAAACCUUAGCGAUCUUUUACGGGACCUUACAUCCUCCCGCGCUUAGGAUCAUUCUUCCUCUAAUGAGGGUUAGAGCCCGCCAUAGCCCCCAAUAUCACUUAACUCUUCAUUAACAGUAAGAAGUUCCAAAAUUGGCUAACUCCUCAAAUUUCCAAAUAUUUCGGCAGAGUUUUCUCUGUAUUUGGGCCUAUCCACCUAUUAGCGAGCGCUAGAAACCAAUCCUAACAGCAUAUUCAUAAUACAACAACGUAUCAUAGCAUGAAAAAAAUAACAACUAUAACAUCAUAAGCAUUCCAUUACCAAAAGGGACAUUUUAGCAUAAACUGUACAAGUUAAACAUAACCCAUUGAAAGUAAACUUCUAACAUUCCUUUAAACACAACUAUCUGUUUAUACAAACAAAUGGGGGUAUUUUAUUUUCAUAUCUUCCUCAGCAACCCAGGUAGCCUCUUCAACUUGUUGGUUUUGCCAUAGCACUUUGACGGAGGCAAUCUCCUUAUUCCUCAGCUUUCGAACUUGUCUAUCAAGGAUAGCAACCUGGAUCACGUCAUAAGACAAUUCUUCAUUAACUUCAAUAGUAUCUCCAACCACCUUCUUCGAAAUUGACACACGAAACAACGGGUGCACUAAGGACAUCUCUUGAGGUAACUCAAGAUUAUAGGCCACUCGACCAACCCUUUAUGUGAUUCUGUACGGUCGGAUGUACUUUGGACUCAAUUUUCCUUUCUUCCCAAAUCGCAUUAUACCCUUCAUGGGAGAAACCUUUAAGAAUACCCAAUCAUCCUCUUUGAACUCCAAAUCUCUGCGGCGUACAUCCGAUUAGGACUUAUGGUGACUUUGGGCACUUUUCAAGCACUCCUUAUUGAUCUGGACCUUCUCCAUAGCUAGAUGUACGAGGUCUGGCCCUAUUAGUUCUACUUCUACGACUUCAAAGCAACCAAUGUGAGAUCUACAUCUCCUACCAUAUAGAGCUUUAAACGAUGACAUAUAAAUGCUGGCAAGAUAACUGUUGUUGUAGAAAAAUUCAAUGAGUGGAAAAUAAUCAUCCCACCAUAUAGAGCUCCGAACCGUGACAUCUGAACGUUGGUGGCUGUAUAAACUGCUCUGCUUGUCUAUCAGUUUGUGGAUGGAAAGAUGUACUAAGAUUCAGCUGGGUACCCAAACCAUGCUGAAAUUUCUGCCAAAGGUUAGAGAUGAACUGUGUCCCUCGAUCUGAGAUGAUAGAAACUGGAGUGCCAUGCAACCUAACGAUCUCUUUGAUAUACAACUGAGCAUAAUGUUUUGCUGUGUCGGUGGCCUUAACAGGUAAGAAGUGUGUUGAUUUCGUGAGUCGGUCCACAAUCACCCAAAUCGAAUCGAGCUUACGAGGCGUGUGAGGUAGACCUACCACAAUGUCAAUAUUUAUUAUCUCCCAUUUUCACAUUAGAAUUUCUAUGUUCUGUGCCAAGCCACCUGGCUUCUGGCGUUCGGCCUUCACUUGUUGGUAGUUUGGGCACAUAGCCACAAAAUCCGCUAUAUCUAUCUUUAUGUCAUUCCACCAGUAGAUUUCCUUCAGAUCAUGGUACAUCUUCGUAGAGUGUGAGUGCACGAAAUACUUGGAACUGUGACCCUUGGCCAUGAUUCUUUCCCGAAGACCGCCCAUAAUAGGAGGACACAAUCUCCCUUGGUACCUUAGCGUACCAUAUUUCAUGCCAAGAGAAAAAGCCAUAGUCUUGUGUUUGUGAAUCCCCUCAUUCAAUUGCACCAAUAACGGAUGAUCAUACUAUUUCUCCUUGACUUCCAUUACCAGUUAUGACUCGUCCUUACUCUGCACAAUCACCCCACCUUCGCUAGAGUCAUCAAGACGUACUCCCAAACAUACCAACCGAUGAACUUCCUUGGCCAACGACCUCUGGUAUGCCUCCAAGUGAGCCAAACUACACAUGGAUUUCCGGCUAAGAUCAUCCGUCACAAUAUUAGCUUUACUCGGAUGAUAUAGAAUAUCAGUGUCGUAGUUAUUGAGUAACUCAAGCCAUCUCCUUUGACUUAGAUUUAACUCCUUCUACUUGAAUAUAUAUUGAAGACUCUUAUGGUCCGCGAAUAUAUCCACAUAACCCCAUACAAAUAGUGAGGCCAAAUCAUCAAUGCGAACACCACCGCCGCAUGUUCUAAAUCAUGUGUCGGAUAAUUGUUCCCAUGGUCCAUGAAAGCUGCAUGAGCGUUCGUUAGCCCAAAAACAUCACCAGAAACUCAAAGUGCCCAUACCGGGUCCUGAAAGUUGUUUUCUAAAUAUCCUGCUCCCUAAACUUCAAUUGGCCGAUCUUAAGUAAAUCUUGGAUAAAUGCUUAACGCCUUGUAACUGAUCAAACAAGUCUUCUAUCCUUGGCAGCGGGUACUUAUUCUUGAUUGUGACCUUAUUGAGCUGUCGAUAGUCAAUACACAUACUCAGUGCCACAUCCUUCUUCCUUGCAAAGAGAACCGGUGCGGCCCAAGGCGACAUACUUGGUUGGAUGAAACCUUAUUCUAGCAAAUCCUUCUACCGAUCAUUUAGUUUCUUCAGUUCUGGUGGAGCCAUUCUGUAGGGUGGAUUGAUAUAGGUUAUGUCCCUGGCAUCACAUUGAUCCUAAAGUCAAUUUCCUUGUCUGGUGGGACCUAGGAAGCUCAUAAAGAAAGACCUCCGAAAAUUCAUUCAUAACUGGCACGAACUCAAGUGUUAGUACCUCAGCCUCUGUGUCCGUCACUCGGACCAAGUGGUACAUACAUCCCUUGAUGUUCAUCUCUGCAUCCUUAAGGUAAGAAACAAACCCGCCCUUUGGCAGAACAUGAUUCCUUCCACUCAAUGACUAACUCAUUUGCAAACGCAAACCUAAUAGUUCCUGUUCAGAAAUAAAGAUUAGAAAAACAUGAGUGAAGUCAGUCCAUCCCUAUUAUCAUAUCAAAAUCCACCAUUGCCAAUUAAAUGAGGUCGGCCGUGGUGUCUCGACCAUGUAUGGUUACAAUACAAUCCCUAUAAACCUGCGUGGCCAUAAUAAACUCAUCAACUACAGAAGAUACAUAGAGAUGACGAAGUUGUUCAUGUUCUAUCUCAAAUUCCAUAGAAACAUAAGGAGUGGCAUACGACAAUGUGAAACCUGUAUCUAUAAGAGCAUACACAUUAUGAGAUUGGACAUUUGUUAUCCCUGUGAUGACAUCUAGAGAAGCCUCUUAACUCUAGUGGCACCUCAUAGCAUAUAACCUACAGGGUCCUCCCGAACCCUGUACACCACCUCUAGUUGUACCACACCCGGAUUUGGUGUUGGAGUACCUCAAGUUGGAGGAGGUGUUGUAGAAGUAGUAGCUACUAAACUGGCCGGUUGCGGCAUAUCCCUACCAGCACUUAUAAUGGGACGAAGGAGAUUUCUCUGAAUAUGGCCCCUAAGACCACACUUGUAGCAUAGGAGAUGGUUCAUAUAGCAGACUCCUGAGUGCAUCUUUCCACACCUAGGGCAUGAGGGCCGCUGCUGCGGCUGAAAUCUCCUGCCUGAUUGACCCUGCUGAUAAGAUCCUAUGUUGCCCUGACUAGGCUUGAAGUGACUCAACUGUUGCUGACCGGGCCCUGAUGGCGGAUCAUUGGUUGAAGACUGAGCAAAGGACGGUGUCGGUCCAGAUGUUACUCCCGGAACAUCACCUUUCCUCCAAUAUCACCACUGAUAGUACCACCAAAGAUGCCCUCGAGUCAGGCCUUUUUGUUACCACCUUGCUUCAUUCUGUUCUUUAAUUUUCGGGUCUCUUAGGCUUGAGGAAAUGCCACCAUCUUCCCAUAGUUCAUAUCAGAAUUCAAGGAGACUAAAGUGGCCUCGUUGAUAAUCAAAGGGUUAAGGCCCUGCAUAAACCUACAAAUGCCAGCCUCCAUAGUGGGCAACAUGUAAAUAGCAUGCUUGGAAAGAGCUGCAAACCACAUAUUGAAGUCUCACACACUCAUACUACCUUGCUUCAAGUUCUGAAACUCGGUGGUACGGGUUGCCUAGUCUCGGUAGGCUAGAAAUGAUCCAUGAAAGAAUUUGCAAACUUGUUCCACUUGGUUGGAGAGCUACUCUCCUCACAAGACUUGUUCCCCAAUUAAAACAAUGAGUACGCCACUUCCUUUUGGCGAUAGGAGGCCAAUGCCACUACUUCUAUCUCAGCGGCACGCAUCAUACGGAGCGUCUUGUGCAUCUCAUUAAUAAAUACAUGCGGGUCCUCCUCGGGCAUAGUACCUAUGAAUACCAGAGCAUCCAACUAAAGGAAUCGAUUUACCCUGAAACUAGCAGAAUCCCCUUUUUGGCUAGAGGAACUAGGUGUAGCAUUCAAUCCCUAGGCCUAGGAAGCCACUAUCUGGGUCAACAAUUGGAUGGAUCCCCUAAGGUUCCAAUAAGAAACACUAGGGCCGAGGGUUGAGGCUGGAGGUGAAACUGGAAUAUCACGUUAAGGAGGAAUCUAUAAAUUCUCAGUAGGUGUAGUAGAAACAGGGGGUGUUGUAGUUGGGGGAAUGUCUUUAUCCCUUGGGUGCUCCCCCGCAACAUCGGGCAGCUCAUCAACUACCACUCCUGAGGUGGCAUUGGCCCUUUGACCACACCUUGCCUUCUUCUUAUGCGCCAUGUGCUAAAAAUUAGAAUAAUGACAAGUUAAAAGGCAAAAGUAUCUUACAAUCAGCUUUAUCACAUGAUUUAGAAUAUCAAAGAAGGGUGUCAUUCCUAAAUGCCCAAGUAGCCUCCUAAUUAUAGAUAUGGUCAACUUCACACCGAUAAUAAGGACUAUACUAGACACAACUCUAAGAUAUCCUAGGACACUUUAAAACCUUAGGCUUUGAAACCAAGCUUGUAACGCCCCGGUCUUUGGGGGGGGAGGGGGCAGGACCUGUGCUCAACUGAGCUACCCCAGUCAAACAAGACUACUUUGUGCUUAUCUUUCAUCCUUGCCCAUGAAUAGUUUAAGGCUAAAUAUCAAGAGUUAGACAAAUGAGAGAGUAAAAUGUACAAUACCAAUUUCAUGACUUAUAGAAGCUUCAUUUAAGAUUAAAAAAAUAUUACAAAUUCAUAUUUAGAAGUUGGAAUGUCCGACAACUACAACAACAUUUUUAAUUUGUUUUCCCAAUCAAAUUACAAACCACAUCAUAUCUACGGAGCCUCUAAGAGAACAUGAGUAAGAAUAUGGAAAUGACAGUGACAAGGCCCCUGCUAUACCUAUAAACACUAUGUACAAGAAUCAAAAUGACACAAAGCCCCGAUAAAGAGUAGGGCUCAUCCAAUCAGCUGAGAAGAGGGUAUGAUGCUAUCAACGAUUAGUGCCACCUGAUGAGGAACCAUUUGCAUCCAUUAAAGAAGCUCCCCCGACAAAAUGAACCUUAGUACGUAUGGAAUAGUAUUAGUAUAUAAAGCUAAAUACCCUCUCAUGGAACAGAAUGCCAACACAAAAUGAGAUAAACAUGGAAACAAUACGAAAAUCAAUAAUAAUUAAAUGCCAAAUUAAAACAAAAAAACGUUCAAGUAAGCAUUAAUAUUUUGGUUGGGAGAUGCCUAGUACCGACACACCACCAUGUACGUGAUAUGGAUUCUGAUCUCUACUCGAUCGGCUAAACCGUCACACCCUAAUGUGUGAGGGUUGACAUAGAACUACGGAACCACCACCAUGUGCAUGGCAUAAUAGGAUAUGCAUGGAUUACUAAGAUAUCAACAAAGCCAGUCCCAAGGACAACUUUUCUCUACAAAUAUCCUUAUCCAUCUUGACAAUUGUGCGAAGCACGAUUUACAAUAGUUCAUGGAUUAUUUCGCUGGAUAUCACUAGAUUUUGAUGCACAAUGAACAUGCUAAGAGGACAACCUUCACCUCACAUGGGAAGUUUAUUGCUACAUGGUCAUGCCAUUUGGCCUCAAGAAUGCGGGUGCCACCUACAUGAGGGCCAUGAGGACCCUUUUUCAUGAUUGGAUCCACAAGGAGAUUGAAGUAUAUGUGGAUGACAUCAUCAUCAUGUCACGGAAGAGUGCAUAUUAUUUAAAUGACUUGAGGAAAUUGUUUGAACAGUUUCCAAGGUACAAUUUAAAGAUGAAUCCUACGAAAUGUGCAUUCAAAGUUCAUGCGGGAAAAUUAUUGGGUUUCAUCGUCAGUAGGAAGGGGAUAGAGUUGGAUCCUUCAAAGAUCAAGGCUAUUAAACACUUUCCUUAUCCCAAAAGCAAGAAGGACGUAAUGAGGUUCCUCAGAAGAUUGAAUUACAUCAGCAGGUUCAUAGCCCAGUCAAUGAUAAUCUGUGAACAAAUUUUCAAGCUAUUAAAGAAAGUUUCUGCCACAAAAUGGUUAGAAGAAUGCAAAAAGGCUUUCGACAGAAUCAAGGAGUACUUGUCUAGUCCGUCCGUGUUGGUUCCUCCUUAACCUGGGAAGCCCCUACUGCUAUAUUUGUCCGACUUGGAUAAUGCAUUUGGAUGUGUGUUAGGUCAACACGACGAGACUGGAAAGAAAGAAGAUGCUAUCUACUACCUAAGCAAGAACUUCAUGCCAUACGAAGCCAGAUACACCUUGUUGGAUUGGACGUGUUGUUCUUUAACUUGGAUCGCUCCGAAGUUAAGAUAUUACUUGUCGGGGUAUACCACAUAUCUGAUAUCCAAACUUAACCGACUCCAAUACAUUUUCCAUAAGUCGAUACCUACAGAAAUGUUAGCAAAAUUAUAGAUUCUUGUCAGUGUGUUCUACAUUAUGUAUGUGACACAAAUAUCUAUUAAAGGAUAGGCAUUAGCCGAUCAUCUCACUAAAAACCUGAUGGACAAAGAAUACGAGCCAUAUACCACGUAUUUCCCCGAUGAAGAAGUGUUAUUCGCUCGGGAGGACAUGGAAAGGGACAAAAUUCGAUAUGUACAGAAAUUUCACCAGUGAGAGAUACACGAGGAUUACAUACGGGUUCCGCCAAAUGAGUUAAACAUAAUUGGUUCUCCUUGGACGUUUGCCACUUGGGGCAUGGAUGUAAUUGGACCUAUAGAAUUGGCCAGAUCAAACGGACAUCAUUUCAUCUUGGUAGUCAUCGCUUAUUUCACCAAAUAGGUCAAAGCUUCCAUGUACAAGGCUAUUACAUAGAAGGUGGUGGCAGAUUUUUUCUAUAACAAUAUAGUCAGUCGGUUCUGCAUUUCGGAGUCCAUUGUAACUGAUAAUGCAUUCAAUCUCAACAGCGAUCUUAUGAGAGAAAUUUAUGAGAAGUUAAAAAUCGUCCAUCGUAAUUCUAUAGCAUACAUGCCACAGAUGAAUGGAGAAAUUGAAAUAGCUAACAAAAUCAUCAAGAGGAUCUUGCGAAAGAUAGUGGACAAUCACAUGCAAUGGAAUGAGAAACUCUCAUUUGCCCUACUUGGUUACUGCACCACCAUAUGGACGUCUAUCGGGGCAACACCAUACAUGCUGGUAUAUGGCACUAAAGUUGUCAUACCGGUAGAGGUCGAGAUAACUUCUUUAAGAAUUAUCCAAGAAUCCAAGUUGGAUGACGCAGAAUGUAUACGUGUCAGGAAAGAACAACUCAUGCUCAUUGAUAAAAAGAGGAUGGAUGUAGUUUGUCAUGGUCAGUUGUCUAAAAAUAUAAUGGCCAACACAUUCAACAGGAAAGUGAAACCUUGACAGUUCACGUCGGGGCAACUGGUUUUUAAGAAUAUAUUUCCCCAUCUAGAAGAAGCAAGGGGAAGUUCGCGCCAGUUUGGUAGGGUCUUUAUGUGGUCCACGUGGUAUUAUUAGGAUGAGCACUAAUAUUAGCAGAAAUGGAUGGCAGGGUAAGCACAAAGCCCAUUAAAUCAUAUGCAAUCAAGAGAAACUAUAUUUGAAGACAAGAGAGUUAGGUUUUGUGUAUCAAGAACUACGCACGACCUGACUUUUCAUGGUGGGAUACGUAGGAAAUCCACAUAGGGUCCGAUCCCACCCUUAUAAUAGAAAAUCUAAAUAUCAUUUUUUUAUAUUCUAAACUACGCCAUGACUUGAUAUAGUUUGGUAGGAAAAUAUAGGCAACCCACAUCGGAUCCACUGUAAUUGAACUACGUUUUGACCUGAUUCCAUUUGGAUACGUAGGCAGUCUGAGUCAGACUCAGCCAUAUCAUUUUAAAAUUCUACCAUUUUUCAUCUAUUGUAAUCGAACUACAUUUUAACCUGAUUCAGUUUGGAUAUGUAGGUUGCCUGAGUCAGGCUCGGUCAUUUCAUUAUUUCAUUUACUCAUACCCUCAAACUAUUCAUAGACCUGAUUUCUUUCAAUAUGUAGGCAACCUGAAAAGGUUCGGUCAUCACCCUAGCAAAUCCUUGUAAUUCAUAACUUAGAUUAGGAAAUGAUCGCAUCAACAAGGAAGUUACGUUGUUAGGGGCAUAUCCAAAAAAGCAUCAUCAACAAGGCAGAGCUAGCUAGAAAUGAUACUCGCAUCAAGGGAAAUGCCAAAAUAUGUCAUAAUCUAGAACAACGACGUUUAACAUAAACAUAAAUAAUUUUUAAGAAAUCAACUUGUAAAAUACUACUUUUUCCACCUGCCAAACCUCAUGGCAUAAUUCACCAGAUUAGGGGCAAGGCCAGGUUUAUGAUCAACACGAAUCAACGCUCCUCCCCUACUAAGAAUUUUUCUUUGAGCGCAGGAUUGACAGGAAUCAAAAGGCGACAGAUAACACCCAAAUCAAUGCCAGACCCAAUACAAUUUCAUGAGCCUCUAAUCCUCCUUUAUUGUUCAAUUCAUUUUCAUAUAGCUAAGGACUAACUUUGAAUUUCUUCUAGGUAUCCCAGUGCCAGGACUCCGACACUAUGGGAGCUCCCUGUACGUAUCAAACCGUCUACUCUACAAACUAGAGCUCCUUGUACAUAUCAAACUAUCUACUCUGCCAACCAGAGAGCCUUAUACAUAUCAAACUGUCUGCUCUACCAAUCUGAGUGUCGUGUACAUAUCAAAUCAUGUGCUUUACCAAUAAGAGCAUAUUGUACAAGAUCACACCGCCCACUCUUCCAAUUAGAGCACCUUUGUACAUAUUACACCGUCACUCCGCCAAGUCAGAGAUUCCAAAUAGAUCAUUGCAAACCUCGUUGCCAACUUUGCCAAUCGACAGAUGGCCAUUCAAUUUCGUCAUACGUUUCGCCGACCGACGACCGCGAAUUAGUCCUUCAGUCAAGAGUAUCUCUUUGGCAUCCUCAUUUGUUUUCCUAUUUUUAUCUUGAAUGUUUUGACAUUUUAUUUGUGCAGCUUACAAGCAUUUUUAAAUUCUUGGUUGGUUAAAAUUCAAACACUCCCAUCACGCGGAGAUUCAAAUUAAAAGUCGAACGCUCCAAUCGUGUGGAGAUUCAAAUUCAAAGUCAAAUACUCCUAUCACAUUGAAAUUCAAAUUCAAAGUCUAAUAUUCCCAUCAAGAGGAAACUCAAAUUAAAAUUCGAAUACUCUCAUCGCGUGGAGAUUCAAAUGUUCCGACAACUUCGGAACGAUACACAGCGUGGCUAACAUUCAAUGUCAAAUUCAAACACCCAUAUCUAGUAUCACAAAUAAUACUCCAAACCUCGGAGAUUUUAAAAUUCAAACGUCCUGUCCCCGGCAUCCCAAAUAAUGCUCCAGAGCUCGGAGGCUUCAGAUUCAAACAUCCCACUGCCCAGAGAUCCCCAAUAAAAGCCUGCGUCAUCCAGGCAUUGUUAUUCCUGCAUGAUUACAUUGUACCCUAACAUAUUUGUAUUAUGAUAUAUGGAUAUAUGUCACGACCCCAAAUUCUCACUUUAGGAUAUCGGGGUGGCACCUAGUCUCUAAGACUGACUGGGUAAGCAUAAGAUGCAUUGAGAAAUAGCAGAAAUAAUAACAUAAACAUCAAAUUAAAACUAUUAAACUAUCAUAACAAAACCCAAAUCGUACAGCUGUCAAAAACUCCCCAAAACUUGGUGGAACCGAGUCAUAAGCUCUACAAGAAUGUACUAAUAAUCUUGAAAUACAACAUUGUCUUGGAACAUGAAAUAAAUAGUAGAAUAUCCAAAGCAGAAGGUGAUUCGAAGCCUGCCAACGUCGAGAAGGUAUACCUUGAAGUCUCUAAAAGUAGCUAAUCAAUCACUAGCAUCCCGGAUGGGCAGAUAUAUCUGGAUCUGCACAAUAAUUUGUAGAAGUAUAGUAUAAGUACACCACAACUGUACCUAAUAAGUAUCAAGCUUAACCUCCGUAGAACAAUAACGAGGCCAGGUCAAGACAUCUACUAGGAUAAGAUAAAUCGAAUAGAGCAUAACAAUGACCAAUAACGAAGAAUAAGGAUAAUGAAUGAUAACAAAGCAGUAUAAUAACGUAGGCUAACAAUAGAAUUUAAGGUGAGAAAGACAACGAGAUGUGAACACACAAUGAGAGCAACAAGUAAUCAAAAUACAGACUAAUACAGGUAAGAAAGUCAAGUAAACAACAAGAACAGUUCAACCAACAAGCCUCUUAAAUCAUGAAAUAUACAACAAGAAUCACAAUCGAGGUAUCACGCCUCAUAUUCACAAUUCACAAUUUUAAUCACAAUCUUUCCUUAUAUCACUGCGUGAGCCUUGCAUUUAUUUUUAUUUUUAAAAUAUGUUUUCGAAAUAGUUACACACGUUUUAGCCCCCAUUAUCUCACCACGUGGCUUUAAGUAAUUCCCUUACUAGCAACACGCGUAUCAAGCCCACCUUAUCACACCUCAUGCAUAUUAACCCCUAUCAUUAUACCACAAUAUGCAUAUCGGUAUCACAACACAAUAACAACUCGUACUGCAAGUGCCCAUAUGCCACAACUUGCUAAAAUCAACAAUACCAAUGUUUUCAUAACAAAUGGCUCAUGGCUCAACCACAAUAUAUACAUGAAUCUCAAUAAUGACAAAAUGAGUGAGAAAUGCGCAACAAGGAAAGAUAUCUCAAAAAUCUACAAAUUCAACCUCAAUGUUAUAAUAGCUUUCGCAACAUCAACGUUAAUAACCCAACAAGAAGAUAAUUCCCACGAAAUAACAACUUCAAGUAAGAGUAAUCCAACAAUAAAGAGGUAACAAGACAAUAAGGGAGGUAAUAACAUCAACUAAAGUAUAUGAGAGAAAAUAUAACAAAGUAAGGGAUAGAACAAGUGCUAACAACGUCAAAUAGAUCAUGUAAGAGUAGAUAAAUAAUGAAAGAUAUAACAUGUUAUGACAAUUCAAUUAAAGGCAUGAAAAGAGUCUAAAUAGUCUAAACCGGUCAAAUACCAUAUAUAGCCUGUGUACACACUCGUCACCUCGUGUACUAGUCUUCCACAUAAUACAAAUAGAUCAAUUAACCCAAAUCCUAAGGGGUAGUUACCCCACACAAAGUUAGGCAAUAUACAUACCUCAACUAGGCCAAAUCAACCCUCAAAAAAAGCUUUUACCCUAAAAUUCUCCUCCAAAUGACUAAAAUCUAACCAAAAAUGACUUAAUAACAUCAAGCAAUGCAAGAGAAAGCAAUUAUAAUAGAUAAAGCUAUGACUAUUACACAUUUUCCAAAAUAUCAACAAAAGCUAACCCCUGGCCCCACCGUUCAAAACCCGAGUCUAAGUGUAGAUUCUGACUACCCAUAAUAUCACGAGUCCAUAUAUCUAUUAUGUUUUCAAAUCCAAGUCCAAAUCGUGUCUCAAAACUCAAAUCUUCAUUUAUUCAAAACAUUGACAAAAAUCCCCAAAUUUCCUCUUUGAUUCUCAUAAAUUUGAUGUUAAACCUAAGAGGUAAUCAUGAAAUAUAGUUUGAAAUUGAUUGGAAUCAUUUUCCCAAUAUUUGCAGAUGAAAAUUCCCUCUCCAAAUCGCCUUCUACCGAGUCUAGGGUUCUAAGAUAUGAAAAAUGAGACCAAAAUGGUCGCAAAUGCGACCCAACCCAGGCAUGCACUGACUUUGCAAGUGCGAUGGGGAAAAUCGCAUUUGCCACAUCUGACCACCCCUGCCAACUUUGCAAUUGCGAAGCUGGUGCUCGCAAUUGUGACAUCAGAGCACUUGCACACCAGAAAAUUCUUUUUCAGUCUAAACCAUUUCGAAACGCAUCCAAAUUUCAUUCGAGCCCUCGGGGCUCCAUGCCAAAUAUCGACACAAGUCUUAUACGAACUCACACGUGUGAUCAUAACACAAAAAUAACAUCUAGAACUACUAAUAGGACAUUAAAACGCAAGCAUUUCAAAGUCAUUUUCUUUGCUCGCAAACUCUUUUAUCGUCUCCUGUCAUAGAGGGGUAGCUGUUGAUGACAAAUUUAAAAUUAAUAAUAUCUAUUUUUUCAAAUAUAAAUAAUAUGAUAAGUAAUAGUAAGCAUAAUAAUAGUUAAUAAUAUUAAUUCUAUAAUCGAUUAUAAUCUAGUCUUAAAUAUUUAUAAUUAUAUUACUUCUACUACUUUAAUUAAUUAAAACUAGCUUUCAUAAUUUAUAAACAAGUAUUACAACUAUUUUAAUAAUUUAGUCUUUAAAUUUAUUAUUUUAUUACCUCUAUUACUUUAAUUAACCAAAUAAUUAGUUUUCAUAAAUUAAUAGAAAAGUAUUAUAAUUUUAAUUACUUAAAAUUAAUUAUUUACAGCAAGUAUCUAAUAAUACAUUUGUUAAUUAUAUUUUAUUACAUUCUAUAGAGAUUAAAUAAUUAUAAUUAAAUUAAUUAUAAAAAGGUGGUUAAAACUUAAAAUAGGCUACUUUUGCAAAUGGUCAAUUUAACUCAAAUGGCCAUGCCUUAGAUCAAAUGCCAGCCUACUACCAAAACAUUGGCCUAAAAGACAUUAUCCCAACACCAUGACCCGGCCCGGCCAACCCCACUACUAUCCUACUUGGCGAUCUUUCAGCCAAUCACUAUGCGCCACACCAUAAGUUCCCAAUCACUAACAGAAAAAAUACAACUCAUCUGGACCAUUUAUCCAAAUCAUCAACGUUCCAGAAUUAAUCUCAAUUUUCCCUUAUUAUAUUAAACCUCCGGUGUUUUACCUUUUUUUAGAUCCAAAUGAUCUAAUGGUUCCACUUUUAUCCCACAUAACCUUUUUCUUUUCCUUUUAUCUAAAAAAAUCUAGAGUCGUUGAUCUAAGCGAUCCAACGGCUCCCCUUCCACCUCUCGUUUUAACUAACCUAUCCCACCCGAAACCCUAAUAAUUCUCAGCACAUAUCGACCGGCCUUUCUUUCCUCUUCCUCUCUCAUUUCUCUCUUUUUCUCAGACCCCAUAAAUCUCUGGAACCUUGCAGUAAUCCGUACAAGUUCAUACAAAAUCAACCCCAGUAUUAAUCAUGUCCCUCUUCCAACCGCGAAUGUCGCCGAUGUUUCCUUUUUUCGCACCUUAAUUUUAAUCCCAACCACCGAAACCCUAUAUCAAAGAAUGAAAGAACGAGAAUAUAAUCAUUUCACUUUGUGCUCGUUCAAAUCACUACAUGCAAUUUGUAGAUUCAUGAGAAUCUUGACAUUAUUAUGAUGAUUCUUGGUCCAGAGGUCAAACGCUGUAACCUCUGGGCAUUGGCUUUAACGGAUGGUCCAUUAGCUUGCAACGACCCAUUUCCUUCAUCAUCUAGAAAGGUAAAACCUCACUCCGUUUCCCCUCUAUUUUUCCUUUGUUUUUCCCCUUUGCUAUCAUCAGCGUUCAAUCGUCAUCUUACACUAAGUUUUUUCAAACUCAAAUGAACCCUAAAGGCUCCGAUGGCCCCUGUAAAUAGGGGCUUUAAUGCUCUCACCUAACAAGAAGAACUACCUAAGCGAACUUAAGUAAAUAUUAUAUGUUUAAAUACUCUGGAUUUCCUCUCUAAUUUCUUUUCUUUUCUUUUGCUUCUGCUUGAAUUCGACCACUGCAAGUUGAUUGUGAGAUUGGGUUCCUAAACGGCUAGUGAUCACCUCUACCUAGUUUUCUGCUCUGAAGAAGGUCAAUAAACCACUAACCCCUUCUUUAAUUGUUCAUGUGUUAGAUCUGCUUGUGUGAUAUUUUACUGUUAAUUACUUGCUCAUUUUUCUUCUUGAUGUUCAUCAGUAAAUAUGUGGCUCUUGUCGUGUUAUGCCACUUGUGUUGCUCUUUACCGAUAUUUCAUAUUUGCUGUUAUAUUUAUCUCCCAUGUUGUUGUUUACAUUAAUAUCUAACAGUGAUCGUUGAGUUUUAUUUCUUGUACUGAUAUCAUCGUUAGGCAUAUGUCUUGUCGAAUUGAAUUGAUAUUAUUGUGAGCUCAAUCCUGUUACUUCCUUAUGUUGAUUUGAGUUGAUUAAUUUUUUUGAUGGCAGCCAUGUUUAGCCUAUACUACUACCCUGCUGAUUGAUUGAUGCUCACUUAUCUUUAUACUUUUGCUCUUGGUUAUCAUACUGAUUAAGCUAAUGAAAUUAUGUUCCUAAUAUCUUAAAUGCCAUCUUGUUUAACAAGGUGAAGUCUUCAUCAAUAGGUUGUCUUGCUCAAAUGGUCUUCUUGCUUAUAGUAUUAUGCUGCUUGUGUUCAGUUAGUUAAAUGAAAUCCACCGAUGGCCUUGCCCACAUUAUCAUGUUGACUUGAUUAAGUGUCUUCAAUUAUUGGUCAUGUUAUGACACUAUGUCAUUUUGUUUAGUUAAGUCUAUAUGUGUUUACUAUGUUAAUAUGAAAUAAGGGGGGGGGGGGGAGGGGUACAUUUUAAAAUCAUGAUUGUAUGAUAAACUUUGGAGACCAAUAGGUGAUCCUGUUUACCUGAGUUGCAAUCAUAUGCUAAUUUUGUUUUGCAUUAUUUGUGCAUAGGUGCUUUCUUGUUGUCUCAUGAUUAUUUGAUGUCUAACAAGUUCUUCACUGAUAUAAUUUGAUUGUUGUCGAUUGUGAUGACUUAUAAGUUUUAAUUGAAUGUUGUAAAUAUGCAUUGGUAGAUAUCAUGCCGAUAGAAAUCACAUAAUGAGACUGAAAGUUGAACCUCUUACUCAUGCUAAAUUGUCCAUAUUGUCCUAACUAAUUGGUAUGACCCCUUGUGAAUUCUAAGUAAGGUGUUAACACGGGUUCUUAAUAUAGUAUAAGCCCAACCCCGGUGCUUAUUUUCAUGUUAUGGAAAUGACUGUUCUGAAAUGAUAUUCUACAACCUGCUUUAAUAAUAUAAACUUACCUUGAGAAGAUUCAAUUUGACUGGAUCUUUAAUGAAGCACUGAACCUCUGAUAAAGUUAGUAAUGUGUGCAUAUGUUUAUCUUUGUUAGUUGUUAAUGCCUUAAACCACUUAAGGUGACAUUCUUGUAUGAUGAAGUUGUUAGUAGCAUGGCAGGCCUGACUACAUGGGUGUAUAGUUGAAAAUAUGUGAUUAGUGGACCUUCCUUGAAUAUGUAUGUGUCUCUAAGAAUAUUCUGUAAGGUUGUGUUACAUGAAAUUAUUUAAAAUCAACCCUUGAACCUUUGAAUCAGUAAAAGGAUCAUGUGAACUUACAAGUACUGAUAGCAUGUGUCUAAUAAUGAUCACAGUUCUAAACUUUAACUUGUAAUGGUUCUUGGAUACUUAUGGCUUUGCCCUCCAGUGAUAACUGUAAUUCCUAAUAUGUUGUCUUAUGUUGUCAGUGUUUCUGCAUAAUCAAGUUUUUGGAGUAUGUUAUGAUGGUUUGAGACGCUAUAUUGAAUAUGCUACACUUCUGCUAGUUUAUGUUAAUUGUGUGAAUUGCCUGGGUACAUGUUUAGUUAAAUGUUAAGUUAAAAUCUCAUUUGUGUCUAAACCUCUUAAGAGAAGUAAGGUUCAGUACUUAAGGAUGAUUGAUGUGGGCUUGACUUUUUAGUUGAGGAACCCCUCCCCGGCACAAGUACUGCUCGUAAGUAAAUAUGGUUCACCCUAGGCCUAUGAAUAUCGACUUUCAUUGAUCUUCAUGGGAUUAGCAUAAACGAAAUUUAGCUUUACUAUAUUUCUUUAGAUCUUGUCCAUAUUUAUUAUAACUUUAUCUUACUUUACUUUUUUUUUGUAUAUACUAAUCCAUUCUCUCCCUUUUCUUUGCAUGAAUCAUUGGGCCUGCCGAGUUCAUUGAGAACUUAGGCCCAAGUUCAGGGAACUGGUCUGCUUCCUUGUCACCUGUUGUUGUCUGUUGCUGCUUUGAGUCUAGCUGGGUCUGAUUAUUUCGUCACCCCAACAUGAGAGUCCAUCUCCCUUCUUCUUCAUCUAAGGAAUUAUUAUUAUUGUCUUUGUCUUAUCCUUUGCGUAUCAUUAUGGAACUAAUGUUGUUAUUAGAUAUUAGUUCUUAGUUUACUUAUGUGAAUUAAUUACAGCCUUUAGGUAAACCAAACUAGUGAGGAAGAGAUAUAUAUGACCGAUAAGAUAACUUGCUUAACAAUCUCAACGUUUUCAGCAUGUGGACACUUUUAAAACUAAUGGUUCAGCAACAAUCUCUCUUUCAUUUACAUAUCUUUCAUGAUGAGUUUUGUUUGGUUUAGGCCUUUACAAGAUUAUAAUAACUUAAAAGCAAGAACACCCCUUUGAAUGUUUUGAAAACAAGUAACUUAGGCAACUAAAUAUCUGGACCGCUUCAAGAAAGAGAAGUAAGGGCGCCACACCUAGCACGAUCUCAUUUUACAAGAACAAAACCAAACACUCAUUUGGAAUUCUACCAAAGCAGUUUUUCGAAGACAAAUGAGGUACAACUAUUUUGAUAUAUACACUGACGCACUCUUUCUUAUUUUUACAAGACAUGUUACAAAGUUUUAAAACAAACAUUACUAUUUCUAAAGGAACUAUACCUUCAUUUCUUAAGACAAAGAAAUGAUCUUUCAAACAAGAAUCCAAAUAUUUUUCGUCAUUUAUUCAAGGCUUUCACAAGAGGCUCACUUAGCAAUUUUAAUCAACUAGGAUAUAAAUUUCUCUCCCCACACCUAUGCCUAAGUUUAAAGAGCUACCUCAUGUAGAUUUUAAGGAGUGCCUAACACCUUCCCCUUAAAAUAACUAAAACUCUUACCCGGAUCUCGCUGUUUAGUAGACAAUUAGGGCAAUAACUCUUUACAAAUAUAUAGGUACCCUAGUAUACCUUAAAAUAUUAGGUGGAAACUCUUCUUUUAUCAACUUCAAAGGAACCAUAAGUUGUAUUUUAUUUUAACUUGUGAAAAAUAGGGUGCAACAAUAAUAGUACGAGAUCAUGUCAGUUAUGGAGUAAGGGUAUUGUGGGUUAUCAUGUUAGUCAUGUCAGUUAAGGGUAUGUGUAUGGUGAGUUUAUUCUGUGAUAUGUUGGCUUUGAAACGACUUUUGGCACAUUCAAGAACUAAUGUAUGUUUAAUUAGAGGAGAAUGUAAUGACCCGAUAGGUCUUUUUGAGAAUUAGCAAUCCGUUCGGUGGUUUGAGGUCUUGAUUAGCUUCAUAUGAUGUAUUAUGAUUUGCGUGUAUGGUUGUUUUUGAUUUUUGGGAAGUUCGAGAUUGAUUCGGAAGAGUAAUUCUCAAUUUAUAAGCUUUAAGUUGGAAGAGUUGACCAAGUUUGACAUUGUAUAUUUGACCUUGGAUCAGUGUUUUGAUGGUUCAGUCAGGUCCGGAUGGUGAUUUUGGACUUGGAUGUAUGCUCGGGUUUGAGUUUCGAUGUUCCUAGAUGAUUUUGAGGCCAUUUAUCGAAAGUUGGAAGUUUGAAGGUUCGGAGAGUUGAUAGAUUUGACCUAUACAUAACUUUGUGGUUAUUGAUGUCAGUUUGGGAUUAAGCCCCUUAAAUAGGUUUGAAUGGUGAUUUAUGACUUGUGUGCAAAAUUUGGGGUCAAUCUGCGUUGUUUAGACGUGUUCAUCGUUAGUUUGGAAUCUGGUUUUGAUGUUAUUUUGAGGGAUUUGUGUCCUAGAGUAGAUCCGUAUUAUAUUUUGGGACUUGUUGUUAUGUUCGGACGGGGUCCCGAGGGGCUCGGCUGUGUUUAGGGGUAGUUUCGAACCAUUUCUCACCUAUCUUUGAUUGCUGGUUUUCUCUUAUUUUCUGGUGUUGUGUGCCUUCUUCCCGAUCGCGUGAGAAAGACUAUGAUCGCGAUGGGUAUGUUGGAGUUAGGUGGUGUUUCCUCUUCGCGUUUGCAAGUGGAGGAUAACGUUCGCGGAUGUUGAGUGGCUUGCCCAUCGUUCGUAAAGGGGGGGUUGUGAUCACGGUUCAGAGUGGGAGUUGGUGUAUUGUUUUCGCAUUUGUGUGGUCCAAGACGCAUUAACGAAGGUUUGGUCUCUUUGGUCAUUGCAUUUUCAUGGUCAGUGACCCGAACACAAAGUGUAUUUUUUGGCAGUAUUCAUCUUAGUGCUUCGCGAUCGCGAAGUAAUUCUCGCGAUUUUUACCACCUGGAUUGGGAUAAGUAUUUUUGACUUGAAUUUUAUUAUUAUGCAUGAUUCCAUCAUUGAUUUUAACAUUUGAUUGGUUAAUCUAAAUGUGAAAUUGGGGGGGUUUCGCAAAACGUUUCUAAAAUGAAUAAUUGAGAUUUGAACAUCGAUUCUGAGUCUGAUUUGGGUGAAAGUUAUAUGGUUAGACUCGUAUUCGAAUGAGUUUUUAGAAUUUGUGAGUUUUGUCGGGUUCCGUUGUGCGGUCUCGGGUUGAAUUUUUUGUUGACUUUGAGUAUUGGAUUAAACAUUUGACCUUUAUUGUUUGGGUUUGAUUCAUAUGGCAUUAUUUGGUGAUGAGUUAUUUUUGGCAAGAUUCAAGUUGUUCGGAGGUCGAUCCGCGCGGGAAGGCAUUUUUAUAGUAUGGAUUUGGCUUGUUUGAGGUAAGUAUCUUACCUAAACUUUGUUGAGGCACUAGUUACCCGAGUUAUUACUGAUAGCUACGUGUUAUGGGUGGUGCACAUAUGAGGGGGUCGAGCCCAUGUGCGUGUACCGGGCUGUUAUUCAUGCUCGAGGUAGUGCUUAGGCUAUGAUCUGCCUUGAAUUUAUUGCUGAGCCUCAUGCUAUUAUGUUUCUUAUGUUUGUACCCCUUUGUGAGCUAAUUGGAGCAUGUUAUAUUUUACAUAUAGGCUAAUUCCCUAAUUGAACAUGAUAACUGCUAUUUUUGUGAUGAAAAUGCCUUAUUUGAGCUAUGGUAGUGCACUUCGCACAGGCAUACACCUUUGCAUGUCACUUAUAUCAGUCCAUGAGUAUGUAAUUUAAUAUAAAUUGUUCAUGCACAUAUAUUCUUGUAUAUAUGUCUUUUGUGUCAUAUGGACUGGACUGACACAUGAGUAGUCCAUGCGGAUCUAAGUUAUUAUUAGCAUGUGAGUUGUCCGUGAGGUUGUUAUUUUUAGCACGUGAGUUGUCUGUGCGUUUGUAAUUAUUGGCACGUCACUUAUCCGUGUAGCGUUUGGAUAAGGAUCCAUCCCCUUAGGGUCACGCUCUCAUGUUUCUCUCUAGAUGGUGUACACGCAGGUUGUGAGAAACCAACAGAUUUCUGGUUGAUGUGGAUUUUUGUUAAGUUGAUCAUUGGUUGGACUUUGUAUCUCUUCUCUAUUUACAAACUCCUUGGACAUAUACUUUAUUUUUCUCCAUAUCUUCUCUAUAUGCGAUCUCCGAAAUUUAUACAUGCCUUUAUGCAUAUCUUCUCUAUAUGCUACAUUACUUGAUGCGAUGAGACACUGUACAUAUCUUCUCUAUAUGUGAAUCUGUGUGACUUGACUUGUGUAAUCACGCAUAUAUUCUCAAUAUACACUUGAUGAAGGAUAAAUUUCUAUUUCACGCAUAUCUUCCCUAUGUGCAAGUUUGACGAUUUAAUGAUAUUGGACGCAUAUCGUCUCUAUAUAUUGUUAAUUGAUUCAGGACUUCACACAAUAAUUCUUUGUGCUCCAAUGUGGUUUAAUCUGUGUUAUAUGAUUAGAUGGCACCAUUGCUAUGUACUUGUGAAAUUCAGGAAUGGAACAGGUUAUUAAUGAGUAUCAUUGACUAUUCUUGCCUCUAUCACCUCACCAAGGUUAGUUAUGAUACUUACUUGGUAUAUGCAGUCUGUUGUACUCAUACUACACUUCUGUAACAUGCAUGUAGAUCUUAGAGCCGAGUUGUUGUGGAUGACAGAAUCUGGCACUGAAGUUGUACGUGUUUUCCGG